GACGAGGGAUCCUAGCGUUGUUCGGAAUUAUUGGGCGUAAAGCGGGUGUAGGCGGAUCUGUAAGUCAGGUGUGAAAUCCCAGGGCUCAACCCUGGAAGUGCACUUGAUACUGCUGAUCUUGAGUGUGGUAGAGGUUACUGGAAUUCCUGGUGUAGUGGUAAAAUACGUAGAUAUCAGGAGGAAUACCGGAGGCGAAGGCGAGUAACUGGGCCAACACUGACGCUGAGACCCGAAAGCGUGGGGAUCAAACAGG
rnacentral:rRNA from 1 species